AGCCAUGGAGGUCAUAGGUCAUGACAUGGAUAUAGUCCAGGUACCUGAGGGGGGAUAAAGGGUUUAAAAACAUUUCCAAUGGUUAUUUCCCACAUCUAUGCAGGCAAAAGAUACCACAUCCAAAGUCUCCUAAACAAAGACCCUGAAGGGCAAGACAGAGAAGGAAACAUCUGCUUGCAAAAGUGAUGCCUCUAGGAGUUUGAAGAUAAAGUUUUGGAUUUUCUUGGGACAAAGACUGCCAAACUCCUUCCUCACCUGGACCAGGACAGUGAAGAGAUGCUUGUCCUGAGAAGGGCUUCCGCGAGAGCCAGGGUACUCCCAGUCGAAGUCCAGCCCAUCAAACCCAUACUGGCGCAGAAAUUUGAUGACUGAGGUGAUGAAAGUCUGGCGGUUCUCCACAGUGGAAACCAUGGCAGUGAAACUGAGAGAGAUCCAAAGAAAGCAAGGCCAUUGAAAGACUGGUAGAAAGUCACAUCAUCCCCCUCAGUGGCGGUGAUCUCGUUGUCGCGCAUCCCCGCGAAGGCGUAGACCAGACUCACCUGUGAGGAGAACGAGUUUUGCCAUGGUUGCUGUUGGUGCUGGUCUAGCAGAGCCUGGAUUUGCUUUUUACACCUUGUGCAUUCCAGGUAAUCACGCAGGAUAUCUUCCGUGUGCAGAGCAUUUAACCUCGAGGUAAUGCAGCCAAUCGGUAAAUCAACAGAUCGCCUCCUGGGCGAACACUUCCUCUUGGACCUCCAGCCUGCCUCCCUCCCGCCCCUGUCACCCCCAACUCUGCUCAGUAAGGACAGCGUGGUAGAGGCCAUUAUCAUGAAAAGCACCAGUUUAAUAGCUUUUCUGGCACUUCUCAGGGCCGAUAAGCGACUGUGUAAACAUUGCGACUGGGUUGUUAGGCUCUGGACAUUUGUUUCCUGGCAUCAAACACAUCUUUAUUGAAAAGUAAACAAACAAAAAAACGCCUGGAAUGUGUUAUCUGCUCUCAAAACUUUUUUCUUCACGGGAUUGUUUGCAUAUUGUUCGCCGCAGUCAGUGCUUCAGGAACUUUCAUCUUUAGGGGCUACUUUUUGAACAUUCUACCCACACCGGUUUUUCGAAUGACCGUAGUCAUGAUUACACGAUAAUUUUAUCUAAGCGCAUAUGGUUCCUCAAAGGUACUCUGCAAGUCAAUGAGAACUCUCUACUCCAUAGCUCUAAAUUACAUCCAGAAAAUGUUAAAAAA